UACGAAGGUGGCAAGCGUUGUUCGGAUUUACUGGGCGUAAAGGGAGCGUAGGUGGUUAGGUAAGCCCUCCGGGAAAUCUUCAGGCUUAACCUGAAAAGGUCGGGGGGGACUGCCUAGCUAGAGGGCGGGAGAGGAGCGCGGAAUUCCCGGUGUAGAGGUGAAAUUCGUAGAUAUCGGGAGGAACACCAGUGGCGAAGGCGGCUCUCUGGACAGGUACUGACGCUGAGACGCGAAAGCGUGGGUAGCAAACAGG
rnacentral:rRNA from 1 species